GUAGGUGGCAAGCGUCGUCCGGAAUUAUUGGGCGUAAAGCGCGCGCAGGUGGUUCUUUAAGUCUGAUGUGAAAGCCCCCGGCUCAACCGGGGAGGGUCAUUGGAAACUGGGGAACUUGAGUGCAGGAGAGGAAAGUGGAAUUCCACGUGUAGCGGUGAAAUGCGUAGAUAUGUGGAGGAACACCAGUGGCGAAGGCGACUUUCUGGCCUGUAACUGACACUGAGGCGCGAAAGCGUGGGGAGCAAACAGGGAUUAGAUACCCUGGUAGUCCACGCCGUAAACGAUGAGUGCUAAGUGUUGGGGGGGUUUCCCGCCCCGUCAGUGCUGCAGCUAACGCAUUAAGCACUCCGCCUGGGGAGUACGGUCGCAAGACUG
rnacentral:rRNA from 1 species